rnacentral:rRNA from 1 species
UACGUAGGGUGCGAGCGUUAAUCGGAAUUAUUGGGCGUAAAGCGCACGUAGGCGGUUAUCUAAGUCGGAUGUGAAAGCCCUCGGCUCAACCGAGGAAGAGCAUCCGAAACUGAAUAGCUAGAGUACGAAAGAGGGUCGCGGAAUUCCCGGUGUAGAGGUGAAAUUCGUAGAUAUCGGGAGGAACACCGGUGGCGAAGGCGGCGACCUGGGUCGAGACUGACGCUGAGGUGCGAGAGCGUGGGGAGCAAACAGG